rnacentral:rRNA from 1 species
AACGAACGCUGGCGGCGUGGAUAAGACAUGCAAGUCGAACGAGAACUUUCGUUGUAGCAAUACAGUGAAAGUUCUAGUGGCGAACGGGUGCGUAACACGUGGGCAAUCUGCCUUAAAGUGGGGGAUAGCUCGGCGAAAGCCGGAUUAAUACCGCAUGUGAUUACCGGAGCAUUCUUCGGAACAUCAAAGUCGGGGCAACCUGACGUUUUUUGAGGAGCCCGCGGCCUAGCAGCUAGUUGGGGAGGUAACGGCUCACCAAGGCGUUGACGGGCAGCUGGUCUGAGAGGACGACCAGUCACACUGGAACUGAGACACGGUCCAGACACCUACGGGUGGCAGCAGUCGAGAAUUUUUCUCAAUGGGGGAAACCCUGAAGGAGCGACGCCGCGUGGAGGAUGAAAGUCUUCGGGUUGUAAACUCCUGUCAUUUGGGAACAAUGCUUACGUAUUAACUGUACGUGAGUUGAUAGUACCAGAAGAGGAAGAGACGGCUAACACUGUGCCAGCCGCCGCGGUAAAAC